AGAAGCUCUUGCUAAGCCCCACCUCCCCGGCCACGCCGGAAACCAGAGCAGAUCAUCAGCGCACAAGACCGUGCAUCUCUCUUAAGUUGCCUCGCCCACCUGCCCCCUCACUUCCGGUCUUUCCCUGGGUGAGUCAGUCUCGUGUAAGUGGAAGAGAAUUUCUGUUGUCAAAGGUUCUAGGUGGGAUGAGCUCCUCGGGGGAAAAAACACGAGCCCUGCAAAUAUCCAAGGUAAAGAAGAGCUGCGCCAGGAGGAGGCCUAUAUGCAGCGACUGAGUUUAACAGCCAGGGUGGCUUUCGAAGAUCAGUAUGCCCUUUGCACGGCUGCCAAAAGCAGGCAAAUGUGCCAAAUCAUAAACUGUCAGAGGACUAACUCCAGGAAAGCCUGCCAGGUUCGAGUCAGCUGCCUGGCUGCCCAGUUGCUAUUGACCCGCUGCUGUUUGGAGCCAUAAAUCUUCGCCUUGUCACCACUGGGGUGACUUGGCCUGGCGGGCACAAGCACAGAAAAGUCUACAGACUCUGAAGCAUUUCAUAAACCGGCAGCCAUGAUGUCUAAGGCAGGCCCCAUCAGGCUGCCUGGUUCGCGUCAAUCAUCUCCAUCACUAUCCACUCCACCGCAAACCAGAAGUUUGGGGGUAAGGAAGACAGAUGACUCAGGGGAAAAAAAAAAAAAAGUGAAUGUUUAAAGGGAAAGUCAUCACCAAAUUGGUCAGAUUCUGUAAAAGGGACUGAAAAAUGGUUUAAAGAUUUGGCGGAAUUUCCUACCCCCCUCCCAUUUCUUUUUUCUUCACUUUUCAUAAUAUUAUGAAGCUGCUUAGACACACAUGACAGAUUGUCUCAGAUUGUAUGUCUUUUUCUAAGUGUCAUUCCACGACGCCUCUAGCAAGUGUAAGAUUCAGCAGACGUGGAUCUUGCUUGAUGCUUCUGAACAUCAAGUGUGGGCUUUUGGAAGAGGAAUGAUGUUGAUGAUCUGAUGGAUUCUAUUUUAAAUGAUUAAGCAAAAAAGUUGUUUUUUUUUUUUUUUCCUCUCCCGUCAUCCCAGAAACGCUCCCUGCAGACUUAGUACACCACAGGAUGUUUGUACCAUCUAAAAGGCGUUUGUUGGCAAAUCACGAAGUUAGGUGACAAGCCCAGCAGAGGGCCUGGAAUGUGCUCGGUGCUCAGUCAGUGUUUGUGGGAUAAGUGAGUGAAGGGCCAGGAGCUGAGCACAUCAAUACUCUUGACACCCCCGUGGAACUCAAUCACCUGGCGGCCUGAGGGAACACUUUACCAUCACAAUUUGUUAUUGAUACAACUCACGGGACAGAUGCUCAUUAUAAGACAGGGGAUUAAUGAGGCCACGGAUCUCCGUUGAAAGCCUUCAGGGGCCAGUUAUCUUUGUUCUGUUCCAAGGCUGCAUCCACAACCCAUAACCUCUGCCAGCUGUCAUGCACCAGGGGCAUGCUCUUUGUCACACAGAGGCCCCGAAAGGAGAUUGUGAGCAGAUUAGCUCAGACCCAUUACUGUGUCCGAGGAAUGAAGCCAAAGGCAUGUGCUCUUUAGAGAGGUCAGUUGCAGCAAUUGAGCAAAUGGAGAACAGUCUGUUUGGGAGCCGCUGGGAUGGAGGGCUGUUGCCACACUUUGUGGUUGUGUGUGUGUAGUAUCGGGGCACAGUUGGCUGUAGACACCCUGGCCGCAUUCGCUGAACAUGGAGUUGAUCUAAAGCCCUGACUUUAGCAAAAUGCCCAACACACAGAAUUCAAAAUGGACUUGAGCAUGUUACACCCCCGCACCCCUUCCAGAAACCCCCUUUUGUUAAACCUGUAUAUAUUUCAGAUGAUUCCAGAAUUUCCCAGUAACAUUCUUGGAAUAAUGGACUAGUAUAUUUUCUUCCUGGCAAGCCUCACCUUGAUCUGCAUUAUCAUUUAGACCCCAUCUGAAAACACCAUUCAUUUAAAUAAGCAAUAGAGACUGAAAUAAAAUUCCAUUCAUGCUUCACUCUCCAA